GACGGGGACCCGCACAAGCGGUGGAUGAUGUUGGUUUAAUUCGAUGCAACGCGAAAACCUUACCCACCUUUGACAUGGCAGGAAUCCUAAAGAGAUUUGGGAGUGCUCGAAAGAGAACCUGCACACAGGUGCUGCAUGGCUGUCGUCAGCUCGUGUCGUGAGAUGUUGGGUUAAGUCCCGCAACGAGCGCAACCCUUGCCAUUAGUUGCUACGAAGGGCACUCUAAUGGGACUGCCGGUGACAAACCGGAGGAAGGUGGGGAUGACGUCAAGUCCUCAUGGCCCUUAUAGGUGGGGCUACACACGUCAUACAAUGGCCGGUACAGAGGGUAGCCAACCCGCGAGGGGGAGCCAAUCCCACAAAGCCGGUCGUAGUCCGGAUCGCAGUCUGCAACUCGACUGCGUGAAGUCGGAAUCGCUAGUAAUCGCGGAUCAGCAUGUCGCGGUGAAUACGUUCCCGGGUCUU
rnacentral:rRNA from 1 species